rnacentral:rRNA from 1 species
GGUUAAGCGACUAAGCGUACACGGUGGAUGCCCUGGCAGUCAGAGGCGAUGAAGGACGUGCUAAUCUGCGAUAAGCGUCGGUAAGGUGAUAUGAACCGUUAUAACCGGCGAUUUCCGAAUGGGGAAACCCAGUGUGUUUCGACACACUAUCAUUAACUGAAUCCAUAGGUUAAUGAGGCGAACCGGGGGAACUGAAACAUCUAAGUACCCCGAGGAAAAGAAAUCAACCGAGAUUCCCCCAGUAGCGGCGAGCGAACGGGGAGCAGCCCAGAGCCUGAAUCAGUGUGUGUGUUAGUGGAAGCGUCUGGAAAGGCGUGCGAUACAGGGUGACAGCCCCGUACACAAAAAUGCACAUGCUGUGAGCUCGAUGAGUAGGGCGGGACACGUGGUAUCCUGUCUGAAUAUGGGGGGACCAUCCUCCAAGGCUAAAUACUCCUGACUGACCGAUAGUGAACCAGUACCGUGAGGGAAAGGCGAAAAGAACCCCGGCGAGGGGAGUGAAAAAGAACCUGAAACCGUGUACGUACAAGCAGUGGGAGCCUCUUUAUGGGGUGACUGCGUACCUUUUGUAUAAUGGGUCAGCGACUUAUAUUCUGUAGCAAGGUUAACCGAAUAGGGGAGCCGAAGGGAAACCGAGUCUUAACUGGGCGUUAAGUUGCAGGGUAUAGACCCGAAACC